UACGGAGGAUGCAAGCGUUAUCCGGAUUUAUUGGGUUUAAAGGGUGCGCAGGCGGGAGAUUAAGUCGGCGGUGAAAUUUUGCAGCUCAACUGUAAAAGUGCCUUCGAAACUGGUUUCCUUGAGUGUAGAUGAAGUAGGCGGAAUUUGUGGUGUAGUGGUGAAAUGCAUAGAUAUCACGAGGAACUCCGAUUGCGCAGGCAGCUUACUAAACUACUACUGACGCUCAGGCACGAAGGCGUGGGGAUCAAACAGGAUUAGAUACCCCGGUA
rnacentral:rRNA from 1 species